rnacentral:rRNA from 1 species
CCUACGGGUGGCAGCAGUAGGGAAUCUUCCACAAUGGGCGAAAGCCUGAUGGAGCAACGCCGCGUGGGUGAAGAAGGUCUUCGGAUCGUAAAACCCUGUUGUUAGAGAAGAAAGAGCGUGAGAGUAACUGUUCACGUUUCGACGGUAUCUAACAAGAUAGCCUCGGUUAAUUACGUGCCAGCAGCAGCGGUAAUACGUAGGUGGCAAGCGUUAUCCGGAGUUAUUGGGCGUAAAGGGAACGCAGGGGGUCUUUUAAGUCUGAUGUGAAAGCCUUCGGCUUAACCGGAGUAGUGCAUUGGAAACUGGGAGACUAGAGUGCAGAAGAGGAGAGUGGAACUACAUGUGUAGCGGUGAAAGGCGUAGAUAUAUGGAAGAACACCAGUGGCGAAAGCGGCUCUCUGGUCUGUAACUGACGCUGAGGUUCGAAAGCGUGGGUAGCAAACAGGAUUAGAUACCCGGGUAGUC